AUGUCAGUUGUUCUCGGGCUGUGCUAGUGCGCAUGUGUUGAGUUUCUGCUUUUAAGAACCGAUUCGUUAAGUUGCGGGGAACGUUUCGAGGAAUAUUGUGCACUCAUCAGAUUUGGUGCUUUGUCCUGCCAAGGUCCAUUUGAGUAGUGGAAAUUACAUCCGGUUAGAUCAUCUCGGAGAAGGAUAAGAGGGAGUGUUCAACACUGGUCAUCAACGCAACAAUCUUUUCCUUUUGAAUGAAGAAGAAAAUUUUCUGAAACAAGAAAAGUCCUGGAACAAUGGCAUCACUCUUGCUGCGGAGAGUACUGUUGUCUAUAGCAAGACCUGUAUCACUUUUUGGACAACACUCCUCCAUUCGAACCAUAAUGGAUGCUUUUACGCAGCCAAUGAUUCACCGGAGCAUUUCAGGAUUUAAAAGUUCUCCGUUUUUAGCUGACAGGCAUCUCCCGUUAGUACAGCAGACCUCUGGAAUGAAAACAAAAUCUGCACUCAAAAAACGAUGCAAAGACUGUUAUUUUGUCAUAAGACGUGGGAGACUAUUUGUGUACUGCAAAACCAAUGGCAAACAUAAACAGAGACAAGGCUAAUUUGUCACAUUUCUAAAUGAUAUAAAGCCAUAUGUUGUAAAGGCUUCAUAGUUUUUUCCAAUAUACAAAUAAAAUUAAUUUGCAGAAA